AUUGAACGCUGGCGGCAUGCUUUACACAUGCAAGUCGAACGGCAGCACGGGGGCAACCCUGGUGGCGAGUGGCGAACGGGUGAGUAAUGCAUCGGAACGUAUCCUGGAGUGGGGGAUAACCCAGCGAAAGCUGGGCUAAUACCGCAUAUGCUCUGAGGAGGAAAGGGGGGGACCCGCAAGGGCCUCCUGCUCUAGGCGCGGCCGAUGUCCGAUUAGCUAGUUGGUGGGGGAAUGGCCCAACAAGGCGACGAUCGGUAGCUGGUCUGAGAGGAUGAUCAGCCACACUGGGACUGAGACACGGCCCAGACUCCUACGGGAGGCAGCAGUGGGGAAUUUUGGACAAUGGGGGCAACCCUGAUCCAGCCAUGCCGCGUGAGUGAAGAAGGCCUUCGGGUUGUAAAGCUCUUUUGGUCGGGAAGGAACAAGUUUGCGAUUAAUACUCGUGAACCUAGACGUUACCUAUAGAAGAAGCACUGGCUAACUCUGUGCCAGCCGCCGCCGUAA
rnacentral:rRNA from 1 species